GCGUCCGUAGUGAAAUGGAUAUCACAAUAGGUUCCGGUCCUAUUGAUGCGGGUUCGAUUCCUGCCGGGCGCG
rnacentral:tRNA from 1 species